rnacentral:piRNA from 1 species
UCUGGGCCUGUCUCAGCUCUGCCACUAGUUAA